UUGGAGGGCAAGUCUGGUGCCAGCAGCCGCGGUAAUUCCAGCUCCAAUAGCGUAUAUUAAAGUUGUUGCAGUUAAAAAGCUCGUAGUUGAAUUUCGGGGUUAGUAGGUUGGUCAUGCCUCUGGUAUGUACUGGUCUCACUGAUUCCUCCUUCCUGAUGAACCUUAAUGCCAUUAAUUUGGUGUUUUGGGGAAUUUGGACUGUUACUUUGAAAAAAUUAGAGUGUUUAAAGCAAGCUAACGCUUGAAUACAUUAGCGUGGAAUAAUGAAAUAGGACGUUCGAUCCUAUUUUGUUGGUCUCUAGGAUUGACGUAAUGAUUAAUAGGGAUAGUUGGGGGCAUUAGUAUUCAAUUGCCAGAGGUGAAAUUCUUGGAUUUAUUGAAGACUAACUACUGCGAAAGCAUUUGCCAAGGAUGUUAUCAUUAAUCAAGAACGAAAGUUAGGGGAUCGAAGACGAUCAGAUACCGUCGUAGUCUUGACCAUAAACUAUGCUGACUAGGGAUCGGAUGAUGUUAAUUUUUUAAUGACUCAUUCGGCGCCUACGGGAAACCAAAGUGUUUGGGUUC
rnacentral:rRNA from 1 species